GAUGAACGCUGGCGGCGUGCCUAAUACAUGCAAGUCGAGCGAACGGACGAGAAGCUUGCUUCUCUGAUGUUAGCGGCGGACGGGUGAGUAACACGUGGAUAACCUACCUAUAAGACUGGGAUAACUUCGGGAAACCGGAGCUAAUACCGGAUGAUAUUUUGAACCGCAUGGUUCAAAAGUGAAAGACGGUCUUGCUGUCACUUAUAGAUGGAUCCGCGCUGCAUUAGCUAGUUGGUAAGGUAACGGCUUACCAAGGCAACGAUGCAUAGCCGACCUGAGAGGGUGAUCGGCCACACUGGAACUGAGACACGGUCCAGACUCCUACGGGAGGCAGCAGUAGGGAAUCUUCCGCAAUGGGCGAAAGCCUGACGGAGCAACGCCGCGUGAGUGAUGAAGGUCUUCGGAGCGUAAAACUCUGUUAUUAGGGAAGAACAUAUGUGUAAGUAACUGUGCACAUCUUGACGGUACCUAAUCAGAAAGCCACGGCUAACUACG
rnacentral:rRNA from 1 species